CAGUCGCCGCGGUAAUACGAAGGGGGCUAGCGUUGUUCGGAAUCACUGGGCGUAAAGCGCACGUAGGCGGACUUUUAAGUCAGGGGUGAAAUCCCAAGGCUCAACCUUGGAACUGCCUUUGAUACUGGAAGUCUUGAGUUCGGGAGAGGUGAGUGGAACUGCGAGUGUAGAGGUGAAAUUCGUAGAUAUUCGCAAGAACACCAGUGGCGAAGGCGGCUCACUGGCCCGAUACUGACGCUGAGGUGCGAAAGCGUGGGGAGCAAACAGGAUUAGAUACCCCUGUAGUCCCUGUCUCUUAUAC
rnacentral:rRNA from 1 species